rnacentral:rRNA from 1 species
AUUGAACGCUGGCGGCAUGCUUUACACAUGCAAGUCGAACGGUAACAGGCCGCAAGGUGCUGACGAGUGGCGAACGGGUGAGUAAUGCAUCGGAACGUGCCCAGUCGUGGGGGAUAACGCAGCGCAAGCUGCGCUAAUACCGCAUACGAUCUAUGGAUGAAAGCGGGGGACCGUAAGGCCUCGCGCGAUUGGAGCGGCCGAUGGCAGAUUAGGUAGUUGGUGGGGUAAAGUCUCACCAAGCCAACGAUCUGUAGCAGGUCUGAGAGGAGGACCAGCCACACUGGGACUGAGACACGGCCCAGAGUCCUACGGGAGGCAGCAGUGGGGAAUGUUGGACAAUGGGCGCAAGCCUGAUCCAGCAAUGCCGCGUGCAGGAAGAAGGCCUUCGGGUUGUAAACUGCUUUUGUACGGAACGAAACGGUCCUGGUUAAUACCUGGGGCUAAUGACGGUACCGUAAGAAUAAGCACCGGCUAACUACGUGCCAGCCGCCGCCGUAAUAC